rnacentral:lncRNA from 1 species
UCCAUUUGGACAAUAUAGGUCUUCUUUGUCAAUGGGCUGUUGGUUGUAGACAGGACAUGGUUGAUGGUAAGAUAGCUUGAUAGAAAGAGAAAUAGCCAUUUUACUGGAAUUUCAGUCAUCUCUUGAGAAAUACUGAAAGUGAGGGGGAUGAAGAAAAGAAGUGAAGUACUCGAGUGAAGAAGAUGAGAGGAGAUGGCAAACAAGUAAGUGUCCUUUGUGGUGGUAUUUAAGACUUAAAAAAUAUCCAUUAAAUAUGAGGGACCUGACUGUCUUCUUGUGUAGGUGAUAAAGGCGGUGGUUGUUUAAUGAAUGUCAGUUCUGUAUUGUGUUUUGAUGAGCUCGGCUGGCUGAUGGUCUAAGAAGUUAUUGGUUAUGGUCCUCAGUCUCAUACACUGAUUCAGUGUUCCUGUUACCAUUUUUAAUCCAGUAGCACAACGGACUAACUAUGGCACAUCACCAUCAAAUUGGGUUUUGAAAUGCAGGAAUCAACGGUGAUAAUAUUGGGUUUC